UCCGACUGUUUAACAAAAACAUAACCUUUAGCCAAACAAGUAUUAAAGGCAACGCCUGCCCAGUGAACAAUUAAACGGCCGCGGUACCCUAACCGUGCAAAGGUAGCGUAAUCACUUGUCUAUUAAUUGUAGACCCGUAUGAAAGGCAAAAUGAGGGCCUAACUGUCUCUUAUAAUAAAUCAAUUAAACUGAUCUCCCAGUACAAAAGCUGGAAUACCAACAUAAGACCAGAAGACCCUGUGAAGCUUAAACUAAACUAUUAAAACACAUAAUAACUACUUUCGGUUGGGGCGACCUUGGAAAAAAAAAGAACUUCCAAAGGCCGACAAGCCAAACAAUAGACCCAGCAAAGCUGAUAAUUGAACCAAGUUACUCCAGGGAUAACAGCGCUAUCUUCCUCAAGAGCCCAUAUCAAAAGGAAGGUUUACGACCUCGAUGUUGGAUCAGGACAUCCUAAUGGUGCAGCCGCUAUUAAGGGUUCGUUUGUUCAACGAUUAAUAGUCCYACGUGAUCUGAGUUCAGACCGGAGA
rnacentral:rRNA from 1 species